CCUACGGGAGGCAGCAGUGGGGAAUAUUGCACAAUGGGCGCAAGCCUGAUGCAGCAACGCCGCGUGAAGGAAGAAGGCUUUCGGGUUGUAAACUUCUUUUGUCAGGGACGAAGGAAAUGACGGUACCUUACGAAUAAGCCACGGCUAACUACGUGCCAGCAGCCGCGGUAAUACGUAGGUGGCAAGCGUUAUCCGGAUUUAUUGGGUGGAAAGGGCGUGUAGGCGGGAAUGCAAGUCAGAUGUGAAAACUAUGGGCUCAACCCAUGGACUGCAUUAGAAACUGUAUUUCUUGAGUGCAGGAGAGGCAAUCGGAAUUCCGUGUGUAGCGGUGAAAUGCGUAGAUAUACGGAGGAACACCAGUGGCGAAGGCGGAUUGCUGGACAGUAACUGACGCUGAGGCGCGAAAGCGUGGGGAGCAAACAGGAUUAGAUACCCCGGUAGUC
rnacentral:rRNA from 1 species